GCGGGGCUGGCCGAGCGCCUUGAGGCAUCUGCCUUCCAAGCAGAACAGACGGGUUGGACUCCCGUGCUCCGCUCCA
rnacentral:tRNA from 1 species